CAGCCGCCGCGGUAAUACGUAGGGUGCGAGCGUUAAUCGGAAUUACUGGGCGUAAAGCGUGCGCAGGCGGUUUUGUAAGACAGGCGUGAAAUCCCCGGGCUCAACCUGGGAAUGGCGCUUGUGACUGCAAAGCUAGAGUGCGGCAGAGGGGGAUGGAAUUCCGCGUGUAGCAGUGAAAUGCGUAGAUAUGCGGAGGAACACCGAUGGCGAAGGCAAUCCCCUGGGCCUGCACUGACGCUCAUGCACGAAAGCGUGGGGAGCAAACAGGAUUAGAUACCCGCGUAGUCCCUGUCUCUUAUAC
rnacentral:rRNA from 1 species